rnacentral:rRNA from 1 species
GACGAACGCUGGCGGCGUGCUUAACACAUGCAAGUCGAACGGUGAAGCGCCUUCCUUUUUGGUGGGUGUGGAUGAGUGGCGAACGGGUGAGUAACACGUGAGUAACCUGCCCCCUUCUUCUGGAUAACCGCAUGAAAGUGUGGCUAAUACGGGAUAUUCUGGGUCUGUCGCAUGAUGGGUCUGGGAAAGAUAUUGUUUCGGUGGGGGAUGGGCUCGCGGCCUAUCAGCUUGUUGGUGGGGUGAUGGCCUACCAAGGCGGUGACGGGUAGCCGGCCUGAGAGGGUGGACGGUCACACUGGGACUGAGACACGGCCCAGACUCCUACGGGAGGCAGCAGUGGGGACUAUUGGACAAUGGGCGCAAGCCUGAUGCAGCGACGCCGCGUGAGGGAUGGAGGCCUUCGGGUUGUGAACCUCUUUCGCCAGUGAAGCAGGCCUGCCUUGUUUGUGGGUGGGUUGACGGUAGCUGGAUAAGAAGCGCCGGCUAACUACGUG